AAGCAGAUCGGCGGCCGCGGGGAGGUUCGGGGCGGCGCAGCCCCGCGCGGUUGUGGGAUCGCUCCCGGGGGCCGCUCCUCUCUCGGGCACUGGGGUCGCGGGAGACGUCGUCGGGAGCUCGGUUUCUGGAGGCCCUUCCCCACCCGGCCUCUGCCUCCUCCACUCCCCCGGGCUGGACGGAACGGGGCCCAGCGCGGGAUGCGAGGUGCGUCCCCGGGGCCCGCAGCGGGCGGGAGCGCAGCCAGGGCCCGGUCGGGGACGCAGGCCCAGGGCGCUGAGGCUGCACCUGCCUCUCCGAAACCGGGCUGGCUCUUUUUGUCUUUUUAUUUUUCUAAUUUAUUUUUUUAGAGGUAUGAUUUCGCUCUGUCGCCCAGGCUGGAGGGCAGUGGCGCAAUCUCGGCUCACUGCAGCCUCGAACUCCUAGGCUGAAGCGAUUCUCCCGCCUCAGCCUCCAAAGUAGCCGGUACUACAGGCGCGCGCCACCACGCCUGGCUAAGGGUCUUACUAUGUCACCCAGACUGAAGUGCAGUGGCAUGAUCACAGGUCAUUGCAUCCUCAACCACCCAGACUCAAGCAAUCCUCCUGUCUCAGCCUUCCAAGUAACUGAGACCACAGACAAAGCCUCACUCUGUCACCCAGACUGGAGUGCAGUGGUAUAAUCAUAGCUCACUACAGCCUUGACCUCCUGAGCUCAAGCAGUCCUCCUGUCUCAGCCUCCCAAGUAGCUGGGAUGACAGUGUGCACCACCACACCCAGCUAAUUUUUUUUUUUUUGGUCUUGCUGUGUUGCCCGGGCUGGACUCAAGUGAUCUUCCCUUCUCAGCCUCUCAAAGUGCUGGAAUUACAGGCAUGAGCCACCGUGCCCAGCCAGAGAAAUAACCAUGGAUAUGGGUAGAGACAGAGCCAUAUGGAAUGCACACUGCAGUGGUGAACACAUGGCCCAGCUCUGCCAUCAAGGAGAAGGAACAUGAAUGGAGCUGGAGGCCAUCAUCCUUAGUGAACUAACACAGGAGCAGAAAACCAAAUACCACAUGUUCUCAUGUGUAAGUGGGAGCUAAAUGAUGAGAACACAUGGACACAAAGAGGGGAACAACAGACACUGAAGCCUCCUUGAGGGAGGAGGGUAAGAGGAAGGAGAAGAUCAGAAAAGAUAACUACCAGGUACUAUGGUAGCUUAGUACCUGGGUGAUGAAAUAAUCUGUACACCCAACCCUCAUGACAGAAGUUUACCUGUGUAACAAACCUGCACAUGUAUCCCUGAAACUAAAAGUUUUUUAAAAAGUUAUUUAAUAUAUAUAUAUUUUUUUGAGACGGAGUUUUGCUCUUGUUGCCCAGGCUGGAGUGCGGUGGCGCAAUUUCGGCUCACCACAACCUCCGCCUCCCAGGUUCAAGCUAUUCCCCUGCCUCAGCCUCCCUAGUAGCUGGGAUUACAGGCUUGUGCCACCACGCCGGCUAAUUUUGUAUUUUUUGUAGAGACGGGGUUUCUCCAUGUUGGUCAGGCUGGUCUCGAACUCCCGACCUCAGGUGAUCCACCCCCCUCGGCCUCCCAAAGUGCUAGGAUUACAGGCAUGAGCCACUGCGCCCGGCAAAAAGUUAUUUAAUAUUAAUGGGACAAUACUCAUUGCAAGAAUCAGACUUCAAUUGCUAGCAUAAGUAAAUGACAGGCAGGAGAUAUUGAAAAUGCAAUCUUAUAGACAUUCAAGGAGAGGACGCAGGACAUUUCUGUGUCAUAAAUGUACUAUGGAAAAUAAAAAUGAGAAAAAUGGAAAUAAAAUACAAGAAAAGGUUAUGAUAAAUUUCAUAUUAUUUUACCACAAUAAAAAAAUUUUAAUAAAUUAUAAAUGGUGUGAUAUGUUUUGCCUGUGUUCCACCCAAAUCUCAUCUUGAAUUAGAGCUCCCACAAUUCCCACGUGUUGUGGCUGGGACCCUGUGGGAGAUAAUUGAAUCAUGGGGGCAGUUUACCCCAUACUGUUCUCUUGGUGGUGAAUAAGUCUCAUGAGAGUUGAUGGUUUGAUAAGGGGUUUCCCCUUUUGCUUGGCUCUCAUUCUCUCUUGACUGCCACCAUGUAAGAUGUGCCUUUUGCCUUCCACCAUGAUUGUGAAGCCUCCCAGCCACAUGGAACUGUGAGUCCAUUAAACCUUUUUCUUUACAAAUUA
rnacentral:lncRNA from 1 species